AUGUUGCUUCGCUGUGCCUGCUGCAUACUACGUCGCCAUCCGACUACAAGCCACGAGCACACACACUACACAUCUCCCGCAUGUCCCGCGCGCACUCGACGCACCCGACGAGCCCGACCGCACCACCAGUGCGUCCCGCACGUCCCGCGCGCACCCGCCGCGUCCGACGAGGCCGACUGCACCAGAUGCCAUGGCUUAUUCCAACACACUCCCCCUAAGCCACAACGUCGCCGCACGGCCUGCCGACAGGAGCCCUGCCUCGUCGACGUCGUCUCAGCACCGUGGACUCCUCCGCUGCGUCUUCGGCACAAGCCACCGCUCGCCGCGUCUCCGUGCCGCGCGCCUCCACGGUUGUCGCGCCGAGGCGCCGCGACCUCUGCGCCACCACGCAGGUCCUUCGCGACCUCCACGUCUCCGCGACCGCCGUGCUCUUUGCGCGCACUCCCACGUCCCCGCGCUCCCGGCCCGCGCUCCCGCCGCGCACGUACGCGAUCUGCGCGACCAGAUCCAGCGCCCCGACGCAGUCCACUCCCGCGGUCCCGACGCGCUCGACGCGUCCAGUGCGCACCCAUAACACGCACCGGUCGCGCCCGGCCCGCCGCCGUCGUCAUCGCCAUGCGCCGCAGCCACACCGCCUCGACCUCCAUGUCCGCCGUGCUCGUCGCGGACUCACCGUGCACCACCUCCGCAUCCGCCAUGACAGCUGUAGCGCCGCGCACCUUCACAGGCCGACACACGGCCCGGAGCUCCGCGCAGCCGCCGACGAAUGCCGCCAUUGCCGGCACGCCUCCGGCAUGGCCCAAGAUGACCAAGCUCAUGAUACCAAUUGUUGUUGCCGCCCUCUCUCUCUCGCCUCUGCACUCGCCUUGCACUCGAGGAGGAAGAGGACUGGAGGAGGAAGAAGGACACACAGACACAAUGACUUUCCCGGCAGGCGCACGAACGCCGUCGUGGGCGCACGAAUGCCCCAUUCUUUUUCUGUUGUAUUCACAGGCUACAUCACAGCUCACUGUUACAACUGAGGAAUACAAUGGCUUUUAUAGGCCGGGAACACACACCCACUAG
rnacentral:rRNA from 1 species